rnacentral:lncRNA from 1 species
UGGCAGUAUAAAACAGACAUUGCAAUCAAAUUUUACAAGAUGGUCAUUUUAUAUUUAUAUAGAUGUGCCCUAGAAGGAACUUUUGGUAUGCUUUAACUUGUAUUUUAUGAUUUAUUUCGCCAAAAUUAUUCGGGCAAGUAAAUUUGAUACAUAGUUAAAUGAAUAACAAUUUUUUUUGUACUGGUUGCCGCCUUUUCCUUUUUAUUUCAAAGCAUUUGUGACCAUGUUUACUUUAUUAAUUUAAAAAUAUGACAAUAUAAGUUUAAAUUAAAUACUUCAAUGAUAUGUACUUUGAAACAUGUACAUUUGAUAGAAAUAAAAUAGAAUUAAUACGAUUACAGCAAUUCAUUCAUUUUGUGGAAAUGUUUCGCAGUUAAUGUGCUGUAACUAUAAUGGCUAGUAAAAUAAUAUGCUUGUUCUCACAAAAAAGGUCAGAGAACUCUAAAUCUAAAUCAACAAACUCAUUAUAUAUAUAUAUAUAUAUGCAAUAAAAGUAAUUACGUAUUGUAAGCCUUACUUAUUCGGCUUAUUCUAUGAUAUAUUAUUAAAUUGCUGUUAUGCCUAUAAAUUUUAGUCGUAUCUGCAUUUUACUAUUAAGAAAAGACAUGAGUUGAAUAUAACUAUUUCUUUUUCUUAAUCAAUACUAAAAUCUUCAGAAAUACGUUUAAACAGGUGCUAGGAGAUAUUUACCCUGACACCGGUUUUGUCUCAGAACACUAAAUGAUUUGACAUUAAAAUUAUUUAAAAACAAUAAUUACAAAUGAGAAUAACAGCGUAGGUAUUCUGUUCUCAACAGAAUUAAAGAAAAAAAAUGUUACUUUGAGGUUGUAUCUUGUAUUUUCUACUAGCCUUUUUACUAUGCAGAAACGUAACUUCGUGCAUGAAGAAUUUAACAAACACCGAACAAUUAUAAUAAAUGUAUGAACAAUAACUUUAAUCGAAGAUAUUUACAAAAACAAUGCAGCGUAUAUGUAAAUACACCUUGGUGAAGUCAUUUUGAUUUAUCAACAUUAUCAUAUAGCGCUACUUUUCUUACCAAUCUCUAGUUAAAUCAUUUUAUACUAUAAAAUAGCAAAAUAUUCUCUAAGAUAGGACCUUCGCGUUAGUCCUUAAACAACUGUCUAGCAGUUAGGCCUAAAACAAUUUCUUAUCAGACCUUGCAUCAUGUCAUUUUUUAUUUUUUCACUCCCAGCCAUGUGACAUUUGCAGAUAUUUCUGUUUGUCAUCAUCUUCAUGUUUGUUUACAGGGCUAGAUAUCUUUGUGUGUCUUGUAACAUUUUCAAUAACCAUGUUACUUUGUUUAUUUUCAGACUCGUUUGACAAGGACUGUGUAUCCAACUCCUCCGUCUCUAUGGACUUAUCUGAAUGCGAAUCACCUGAUUCCAUGCGAGAAUCAUUAUCAAGUAUCAGAAACAUCAGAUUUAUCAUUACUGCUUGAGCUAGAAUCAUCUGGAGGUAUUACAUAAUUAACCCUCUGUCUUGGAUAAUCUUUGACAACUUUGCGUUCGGGCCAUUCAGCAAUGUCAGCAAGCCUUAUCUGAUCUGCAUGUACUUGAACAACAGAGUUGUCAAGCUGGUUCUUAAUAAGUAGGCAUUUACCUAGAGCAUUUUAUUUUCAAGGGAAAUAAUUGUGGUCUGACAAUAUUAUUUUGAAAAUCACAGUUGAGAUUUUUUUAUGUAUGCACCGGUACAGUUUUGUGGGGAAGCGAAAGUUGUCAUGGAAUUUUGUCUUCUUCUAAAAACAAGUGUCUGAUACAUGUAGUUGCAGUCUGUCUUUGGAAGCUGUAGAAAUAACAAGAAAG